GCCGUAGUUCAGUGGCAGAGCACCUGCUUUGCACGCAGAAGGUCCUGUGUUUGAUCCCAGGCAGACUG